UGUGAACUCGAAGAGUAGGGCGGGACACGUGGUAUCCUGUCUGAAUAUGGGGGGACCAUCCUCCAAGGCUAAAUACUCCUGACUGACCGAUAGUGAACCAGUACCGUGAGGGAAAGGCGAAAAGAACCCCGGCGAGGGGAGUGAAAAAGAACCUGAAACCGUGUACGUACAAGCAGUGGGAGCACCUUCGGGUGUGACUGCGUACCUUUUGUAUAAUGGGUCAGCGACUUAUAUUCUGUAGCAAGGUUAACCGUAUAGGGGAGCCGCAGGGAAACCGAGUCUUAACUGGGCGUUAAGUUGCAGGGUAUAGACCCGAAACCCGGUGAUCUAGCCAUGGGCAGGUUGAAGGUUGGGUAACACUAACUGGAGGACCGAACCGACUAAUGUUGAAAAAUUAGCGGAUGACUUGUGGCUGGGGGUGAAAGGCCAAUCAAACCGGGAGAUAGCUGGUUCUCCCCGAAAGCUAUUUAGGUAGCGCCUCGUGAACUCAUCUUCGGGGGUAGAGCACUGUUUCGGCUAGGGGGUCAUCCCGACUUACCAACCCGAUGCAAACUACGAAUACCGAAGAAUGUUAUCACGGGAGACACACGGCGGGUGCUAACGUCCGUCGUGAAGAGGGAAACAACCCAGACCGCCAGCUAAGGUCCCAAAGUCAUGGUUAAGUGGGAAACGAUGUGGGAAGGCACAGACAGCCAGGAUGUUGGCUUAGAAGCAGCCAUCAUUUAAAGAAAGCGUAAUAGCUCACUGGUCGAGUCGGCCUGCGCGGAAGAUGUAACGGGGCUAAACCAUGCACCGAAGCUGCGGCAGCGACACUAUGUGUUGUUGGGUAGGGGAGCGUUCUGUAAGCCUGCGAAGGUGUGCUGUGAGGCAUGCUGGAGGUAUCAGAAGUGCGAAUGCUGACAUAAGUAACGAUAAAGCGGGUGAAAAGCCCGCUCGCCGGAAGACCAAGGGUUCCUGUCCAACGUUAAUCGGGGCAGGGUGAGUCGACCCCUAAGGC
rnacentral:rRNA from 1 species